rnacentral:lncRNA from 1 species
UCCAAUAAGAGGUUCGAGCCAAGUAUCAGCUCCACCAAAUUUUCUUAAGAGGCUAUGAUUGGCAGGGACUUCUAGUGUGACACUCCUCAUAGUCAAGCCUCUAUUGCUAGAAAUUACCUUUGUAGGCUGAAUAGAGGAAGAGAGAAUAACGGAAGGGGGAGUAGUAGAAAAGGUAGACACAACAGGAGUCAUAGGAGUUGAAGCAGGAACGGAAGGGGUAGAUGCAGAAAUUAACACAGGAACGAAAGUAGAAACAGUUAAAACUGUUGAAGGAACGGAAGCAAUCAAUGUUGGCAAGGAAACACUUACGGUUGGCAAAGGAAUGAAGGAAGCAGGGACAAAUGAGGAAAGAGGGGCUUCAUAAAAAAUAGGGCCAAGCUCGCCCCUUUCAAAACCACUAUCAAAGAGACGCUGAGUUGUUUCAUUAGUGUCUCUUGGCACGGUGUCCUCAUUAGAAGGAAUCAAAACAGGCUCGGUGGUCGAGGUUUGAGCAAGAGUAUCUUCAAUUUCAUCAUCAUUAAUGACUCGCCUCCUGACUCUUGGCCUGGCUAUUAAAGAGGUUCCUUCUUCUUUCUCAUUCUCAGAACCUUCUCCUAUAACUUUCGUUUUUGGAAGCAAGGCUCGAGCCUUGUCCAAAUCAAG